rnacentral:rRNA from 1 species
AUUGAACGCUGGCGGCAUGCCUUACACAUGCAAGUCGAACGGCAGCACGGGAGCAAUCCUGGUGGCGAGUGGCGAACGGGUGAGUAAUAUAUCGGAACGUGCCCAGUAGUGGGGGAUAACCCGGCGAAAGCCGGACUAAUACCGCAUACGACCUACGGGUGAAAGCAGGGGAUCGCAAGACCUUGCGCUAUCGGAGCGGCCGAUAUCAGAUUAGCUUGUUGGUGGGGUAAAAGACCUACCAAGGCGACGAUCUGUAGCUGGUCUGAGAGGACGACCAGCCACACUGGGACUGAGACACGGCCCAGACUCCUACGGGAGGCAGCGGUGGGGAAUUUUGGACAAUGGGCGCAAGCCUGAUCCAGCCAUGCCGCGUGCGGGAAGAAGGCCUCGGUUGUAACGCUUUGUCAGGAAGAACGGCUCGGGCGUAAUACCUCGGGCUAAUGACGGUACCUGAAGAAUAAGCACCGGCUAACUACGUGCCAGCAG